rnacentral:rRNA from 1 species
UACGUAGACCACAAGCGUUAUCCGGAUUUAUUGGGCGUAAAGCGCAUGUAGGAGGUUCGGUGCGUCUCUGGUUAAAGCCCACCGCCUAACGGUGGAAGUGCCGGAGAUACGAUCGAACUGGAGGAUGUGAGAGGUGCAUGGAACUCACGGUGUAGGGGUGAAAUCCGUUGAUAUCGUGGGGAACACCAAAGGCGAAGGCAGUGCACUGGUACAUUCCUGACUCUGAGAUGCGAAAGCGUGGGGAGCAAAAAGG